CCUACGGGAGGCAGCAGUGGGGAAUUGUUCGCAAUGGGCGCAAGCCUGACGACGCAACGCCGCGUGGAGGAUGAAGAUCUUCGGGUCGUAAACUCCGGACACCAUCUACCCGGUACCGCUAAAGGAAGCCCCGGCUAACUCCGUGCCAGCAGCCGCGGUAAUACGGGGGGGGCAAGCGUUGUUCGGAAUUACUGGGCGUAAAGGGCUCGUAGGCGGCCAACUAAGUCGGACGUGAAAUCCCCAGGCUCAACCUGGGAACUGCGUCCGAUACUGGAUGGCUUGAAUCCGGGAGAGGGAUGCAGAAUUCCAGGUGUAGCGGUGAAAUGCGUAGAUAUCUGGAGGAAUACCGGUGGCGAAGGCGGCAUCCUGGACCGGAUUGACGCUGAGGAGCGAAAGCCAGGGGAGCAAACGGGAUUAGAUACCCUUGUAGUC
rnacentral:rRNA from 1 species